UGAGGUCUAUGAUGAUGAGUUCUAUUUGCCUACAUUGGCUGAUUAAUCGCUAGUUAGAUUAUGAUGUGUACCAAUAAUCUGAGACCUCC